UUCAAGCAUACCCUUCUCAAACUGUGGUGAGAUAUUCACAAUUUCCGAUGAACAAAUAAGGUUUUAUAUGUAAGAUGGUUAAAUAAAGAGCACAAUUAUUGAUUAUUAUUAUAUUAUUAUUUGUGCCCUGGUCCUAUAAGAGCUCUUUCUCACUUCCCACGAGCCAGGUUGUGACAAAACUCACACUCAUUCUUAUGUUUAAUAAAUGUAUCAUAUAGUGUGUGUGGCAGGCUUACAAUGAUGGCAAAAAACAACAUUUGAGAGUGCGCUGUCCCUGGUGCGAGAGGGUGUACACAGCUGGAGGUUGAAUGUUUGAAGGGGUACAGGACUAUAAAAAGUUUGGGAACCACUGAUGUAGACUGUUUAACUGACCUAGCAUCUGUGUGGAUCUAAUUGAUGUAGACUGUUUGACCUAGCAUCUCUCUGUGUCUCUCAGAUAACGCUGAGUGGGUUUUGAAGCCGUAUGGUUUUAAUAUGGAGAUUGAGGGCUUCAGAUACUGCUAAUCGGGUAUGUACACACACCUCUGUGAUAUCAUAGCACACCUGUUCACCUCACACCUGGUAGUAUAUGAGUUUGGAUUGUGUGUGUGUGUAGGAUGCCAUGCGGCUGGUGACUAAGCAGGCAGUGAGGGAGGCCAGACUGAAAGAAAUCAAGCAAGUGCUGCUCAACUCAGAGAAACUCAAGUCGCUCCGACGCUGAGGGGAGGGCCAACCCAAUGUCAGGCAGGAGGAGAGAGAAGCCCAAACCUGACGGGGUCGCCAAGACAACCAUCAAGAAGGACUUCUGAGGCAAGAACCACUUGAAGAGUUUUUGCUACACCGGAGUGAGGAGCCGAGGGGGCAAGACUAGCAAAUCCUACGCUUCCAUUUCAACGUCCACCAAUUACAAUUCACCUAUGACAUCACCAGUUUCCAGAUCAGUGCAGAUGGAGGGGAAACAAACUGAGGAAGCUACUGUAGACUGAGAUGCAGCCGAAGUGUCCACUAUCAGGCCGCAAAUGGAAGAAAACGGACUGAAACAAGAGGGGACUAUCUGAACUUAUCCAAUAAGAAACACUUGUUUUUGUAUUCUGUUGGAAAACAUUUUGCUACGUUUUGAAACAGUGCACACUAAUGAAUACAACCCAGAUGAGGAACCUACCAGCAGCACCAUUACUCUUAAACUGAGCCAACAUCGGAGUUUGCCUGGUUAGAAAACCUGGCAAAUUAAUAUAACGUGCAUUCCCUCCUAAACACGAGAGGUAUCACAGUAAUGUUAUGACUGCAUUACUCUGCACUUCCACUGACGCGAAUUAACUUCCUUCUCUUUACUAGUGUUUAAUGAAAUCCGAAUUGAAGAAUUAAAAUGAUUGUUUUUCAAUAAGUAAUUUUCUAUUAUUGAAUUGUCAAUAAUAGAAAUGGAAUUGACCCCAAUUCUGGUAUUUACUAUACACAUGCUGUGUAUGUGUGGUCAUUUCAGAUGGCUACACGUGGGUAUUGCAUUUAUUGUUUCUUUGUAAUAAGAAUUCAGAAAACAUUUAUUACAUGUUUUUUUUUUGCUCCUUAAGCUGUUUACCAAAAAUCAUGUCAGUCCCAGAGGUCUCCGUUUACCAUAAAUCAUGUCAUGUCAGUCCCAGAGGUCUCUGUUUACCAUAAAUCAUGUCAUGUCAGUCCCAGAGGUCUCUGUUUACCAUAAAUCAUGUCAUGUCAGUCCCAGAGGUCUCUGUUUACCAUAAAUCAGUCCCAGAGGUCUCUGUUUACCAUAAAUCAGUCCCAGAGGUCUCCGUUUACCAUAAAUCAGUCCCAGAGGUCUCCGUUUACCAUAAAUCAGUCCCAGAGGUCUCCGUUUACCAUAAAUCAGUCCCAGAGGUCUCCGUUUACCAUAAAUCAGUCCCAGAGGUCUCUGUUUACCAUAAAUCAGUCCCAGAGGUCUCCGUUUACCAUAAAUCAUGUCAUGUCAGUUACACAGGUCUCUGUUUACCAUAAAUCAUGUCAUGUCAGUCCCAGAGGUCUCUAUUUACUAUUAAUCAUGUCAUGUCAGUCCCAGAGGUCUCUGUUUACCAUAAAUCAUGUCAUGUCAGUCCCAGAGGUCUCUGUUUACCAUAAAUCA